AAGAAAAAAGAGAGUACUUCUGAAACACAUUUUCUUCAGCCGUUUCAUAGAGACUGCCUUCUUUCCUGGUUUAACAAAACCCACCCACCUGACAAAGUGAAUCCAAUUUCACCAUUACUUUUCCUUAUCGUUCGGCCAGAACAGGGUCCUCUACCCACGACGCUACUUUGGUCUCACCUCCUCUUUCUAUCUCUAGAUGAUACACUGCAUUUCCCCAGCCAAAUUUUCUCCGUUUUCAGUUUACUCAUUUUCAUUGUCCGCAACAGGAUCAACACUUUCUCUAUUUUGGGCUUCAUUGUGGAAAUUACCUCACGCUACACGACACAGAAUCCACAAUCCCCAUACCUGCAAAGACUCACGCAGGUCGCUUCACCAUAUUCUCAGGCCAAGCAGAAUCCACACAGUAUCUCGCUAGCGCCACUGCUCGCUUAGCUCCUCUCACUCUUAUCACAAGCAGGGUCUCAUAUUAAUCUAACGUUGCAGCACCUUCCGUCCCUACAGUCCCAUUUCGGCCAACUGAUUCCUCCCUUCUCUCGUUUGAAAUUCAGAAUAACGUGGGUAAUGAUUGAACCUUGUGCUUUUCCUUUUAUAUUUGCCUUAAAGUACUGGUACUGUUAUUUAAUUGAUGAAUGGUUUCCUAAUGGGUUUUUGGUGAUUGAUUUCUUGCUAAAUGGUGUGAUUGGACUUUUAGGUGUGCAUAUGUUCAAUACUUGAUUGAAUGGUUCAGCCCAAGCCCUAUGAUUUUAUUGGGGGUCUUCAUUUUCUGAUUAAUUAAUUUGUUGAUCUAAAAUGUUAUUUUGGUGGAGUUUUCUAGCCGUUGGUUUAUUGAUUAAACAAAAUAAUAAUGUUUUGAUCCAUCUUUGUUGAUUCUUGGUUCCUGGAUAGGUGAACUAUACCUGUUUGUUCAACUACAUUUCUACAAAUGUAGUAUUUGAAUAUCUCGUAAAAAUGGGAUUUGUUUUCUCCGUUGAUCAAUGACCAUACCUUUGUUUUUCUCAAGUUUAGACUAGUUAUAGUUAAUGAAAAUGAAGUAGAAUAAGUUUUCUUUGUAGAAUAGUUUUAUCCCUCUCUUUGUUGAUAUUGAAAACUGACAUUUAUGUUGGUUUCUGAACAACCUUGAUUUGUUGCUUAUAGGAUCAAGCUUCAUUUGUUGGUUAGCAUUAACUUUUCAAUCUGUGGAGUUUAUUUCCUCUGUUUGGAUUGAAUCAAUUGUAACUUGGGCCUCUAUUGUACAGGAAAUGCAUUUCUGUCACAUACUUUACUUUUUAUUUUAUAUGCUGCUAACAGAGGUUCCCAUUCAUUAUUUAUUGAAAUGUUUUUAGCUGGUAUCUGUUUCAGUUAAGUUUUAUUGUUUGUUGAUUUGUCUAUUCUAUUUCAUUUUUUUUUUUUAAUAUUGGCAACUGGGACUACUGUUGGUCCUUUUGUGGCAUAAAUUGGGUGGAUUUAUCAUUGGCCUUGUUUUACUUUUGAGAAAUUGGGCUUCUUUUUACUCCUGCUUCUGUUUUGUUGGUUGUACUUUUAGUCUUUGUCUCACUAUGAACGUGUUUUGGAUUGAUUGCUGAUAAUAGGUUUGUGAAUCUGCAUUCUUCUAGGAGUAUUUAUCUGUCAAUUGAACUAAAUUUGUUCUUUAUUUUUUUUACGAUAUAAUGGCUUCACAGCUUGUUUUGUUAGCAUUCUUUCAUGCAUUCACCAGAAAUUUGUCAUGGGCAUUUCAUUCAGAUAUUAGAUUUGGCCUGGCAUAUUUGAUUUUAUUUAGAAUGGUUUAUUUGAGCUUGAAGCUUGUAUUUCUCUCCCUUUUUUGAGCUUGAAGGUUUGAUAUAAUGGUUUAUUUGAUUUUAUUUGAGCUUGAAGGUUGUGACAUCUCUCAAUGGAAUAUCUGUUUGCCAAAAAAUGAAAUAUAUAUUCUAUUAUGUUACUCUUUCUGUCAUUAAAGGUUUGAACAAGUUUUGUAUACAUAGCUCAAAGUCUAAUUCUUAUGGUUGUUUCAAAUGUAAACAGUUUUCUUAGAAUCUAGUUAAUUGACCUUUCAUCUAAGGUUCAAUGAUAGAUUUGCUAAGAUUUGUAGGUGCAGUGAAUAAGUAUGAUUGCAUUUAAGCCUUUGGGUGUGAUAGGUUCUCUUAUGCAAGGCCCCUAGUUUUAUUUUAUAUAGUCUAAUUUUUGUAGAUUUAUAACAUAAAGUUUUUUUUUUUUUUUUUUUCUGAUUUCGGUAUUUAGAUUUCAAAUUAGAAUAAAUUGUUUUAUGUUGAUCCAGCGACGACUGAGGACGGAGAAGAGUUCCGCCCGCCAGUUCUUAGACUCAGUUUGCUAGAAGAAAG
rnacentral:misc_RNA from 1 species